rnacentral:rRNA from 2 species
UACGUAGGGCGCAAGCGUUAUCCGGAAUUAUUGGGCGUAAAGAGCUCGGAGGCGGUUUGUCGCGUCUGCCGUGAAAGUCCGGGGCUCAACUCCGGAUCUGCGGUGGGUACGGGCAGACUAGAGUGAUGUAGGGGAGACUGGAAUUCCUGGUGUAGCGGUGAAAUGCGCAGAUAUCAGGAGGAACACCGAUGGCGAAGGCAGGUCUCUGGGCAUUAACUGACGCUGAGGAGCGAAAGCAUGGGGAGCGAACAGG